rnacentral:rRNA from 1 species
CCUAAGGCGAGGCCGAAAGGCGUAGUCGAUGGGAAACAGGUUAAUAUUCCUGUACUUGGUGUUACUGCGAAGGGGGGACGGAGAAGGCUAUGUUGGCCGGGCGACGGUUGUCCCGGUUUAAGCGUGUAGGCUGGUUUUCCAGGCAAAUCCGGAAAACCAAGGCUGAGGCGUGAUGACGAGGCACUACGGUGCUGAAGCGACAAAUGCCCUGCUUCCAGGAAAAGCCUCUAAGCAUCAGGUAACAUCAAAUCGUACCCCAAACCGACACAGGUGGUCAGGUAGAGAAUACCAAGGCGCUUGAGAGAACUCGGGUGAAGGAACUAGGCAAAAUGGUGCCGUAACUUCGGGAGAAGGCACGCUGAUAUGUAGGUGAAGCGACUUGCUCGUGGAGCUGAAAUCAGUCGAAGAUACCAGCUGGCUGCAACUGUUUAUUAAAAACACAGCACUGUGCAAACACGAAAGUGGACGUAUACGGUGUGACGCCUGCCCGGUGCCGGAAGGUUAAUUGAUGGGGUUAGCGGCAACGCGAAGCUCUUGAUCGAAGCCCCGGUAAACGGCGGCCGUAACUAUAACGGUCCUAAGGUAGCGAAAUUCCUUGUCGGGUAAGUUCCGACCUGCACGAAUGGCGUAAUGAUGGCCAGGCUGUCUCCACCCGAGACUCAGUGAAAUUGAACUCGCUGUGAAGAUGCAGUGUACCCGCGGCAAGACGGAAAGACCCCGUGAACCUUUACUAUAGCUUGACACUGAACAUUGAGCCUUGAUGUGUAGGAUAGGUGGGAGGCUUUGAAGUGUGGACGCCAGUCUGCAUGGAGCCGACCUUGAAAUACCACCCUUUAAUGUUUGAUGUUCUAACGUUGGCCCGUAAUCCGGGUUGCGGACAGUGUCUGGUGGGUAGUUUGACUGGGGCGGUCUCCUCCUAAAGAGUAACGGAGGAGCACGAAGGUUGGCUAAUCCUGGUCGGACAUCAGGAGGUUAGUGCAAUGGCAUAAGCCAGCUUGACUGCGAGCGUGACGGCGCGAGCAGGUGCGAAAGCAGGUCAUAGUGAUCCGGUGGUUCUGAAUGGAAGGGCCAUCGCUCAACGGAUAAAAGGUACUCCGGGGAUAACAGGCUGAUACCGCCCAAGAGUUCAUAUCGACGGCGGUGUUUGGCACCUCGAUGUCGGCUCAUCACAUCCUGGGGCUGAAGUAGGUCCCAAGGGUAUGGCUGUUCGCCAUUUAAAGUGGUACGCGAGCUGGGUUUAGAACGUCGUGAGACAGUUCGGUCCCUAUCUGCCGUGGGCGCUGGAGAACUGAGGGGGGCUGCUCCUAGUACGAGAGGACCGGAGUGGACGCAUCACUGGUGUUCGGGUUGUCAUGCCAAUGGCACUGCCCGGUAGCUAAAUGCGGAAGAGAUAAGUGCUGAAAGCAUCUAAGCACGAAACUUGCCCCGAGAUGAGUUCUCCCUGACUCCUUGAGGGUCCUGAAGGAACGUUGAAGACGACGACGUUGAUAGGCCGGGUGUGUAAGCGCAGCGAUGCGUUGAGCUAACCGGUACUAAUGAACCGUGAGGCUUAACC